UAGGGGGGAUGUACCCAAGGGGAUCAGGGCAGGGGAUUGGGAAUCCCCCCUGGCGCGA
rnacentral:tRNA from 1 species